rnacentral:piRNA from 1 species
UGGGUCACCUGAAUCAAUCAUUCUUCCC